GAUGAACGCUGGCGGCGUGCCUAAUACAUGCAAGUCGAGCGGACGGACGAGAAGCUUGCUUCUCUGAUGUUAGCGGCGGACGGGUGAGUAACACGUGGAUAACCUACCUAUAAGACUGGGAUAACUUCGGGAAACCGUAGCUAAUACCGGAUAAUAUUUUGAACCGCAUGGUUCAAAAGUGAAAGACGGUCUUGCUGUCACUUAUAGAUGGAUCCGCGCUGCAUUAGCUAGUUGGUAAGGUAACGGCUUACCAAGGCAACGAUGCAUAGCCGACCUGAGAGGGUGAUCGGCCACAUUGGAACUGAGACACGGUCCAGACUCCUACGGGAGGCAGCAGUAGGGAAUCUUCCGCAAUGGGCGAAAGCCUGACGGAGCAACGCCGCGUGAGUGAUGAAGGUCUUCGGAUCGUAAAACUCUGUUAUUAGGGAAGAACAUAUGUGUAAGUAACUGUGCACAUCUUGACGGUACCUAAUCAGAAAGCCACGGCUAACUACGUG
rnacentral:rRNA from 1 species